rnacentral:rRNA from 1 species
GAUGAACGCUGACAGAAUGCUUAACACAUGCAAGUCAACUUGAACUUCGGUUUGGGUGGCGGACGGGUGAGUAACGCGUACAGAACUUGCCUCACAGCUAGGGACAACAUUUGGAAACGAAUGCUAAUACCUGAUAUUAUGAUUUUAGGGCAUCCUAGAAUUAUGAAAGCUAUAUGCGCUGUGAGAGAGCUUUGCGUCCCAUUAGCUAGUUGGAGAGGUAACGGCUCACCAAGGCGAUGAUGGGUAGCCGGCCUGAGAGGGUGAACGGCCACAAGGGGACUGAGACACGGCCCUUACUCCUACGGGAGGCAGCAGUGGGGAAUAGUGGACAAUGGACCAAGAGUCUGAUCCAGCAAUUCUGUGUGCACGAUGAAGUUUUUCGGAAUGUAAAGUGCUUUCAGUUGGGAAGAAAAAAAUGACGGUACCAACAGAAGAAGUGACGGCUAAAUACGUG